rnacentral:lncRNA from 1 species
UAUCAUUUUCGAUAUAGAAAAUAAUGACUCAAAUCUUUGACAUUUGUUAUAAGGUUAUGUAGUAUAAUAUAUAGUCUGUGUCAUUUCAAAACUUCAAAACCAAAACAAACAUUUUGCUCAUAACUAGAUUAUAAGUUUAUUUAUUUAAAUACGAGAAUCGAGAUUUCAAAGCUCCAAAUGGCUUUAAGCGGUCAAGUGGACUUUAAAAAAAGUUGUACCCAUAGCCAACGGCAUUCUACUUGUCCUGUGUUUUAGUUUGGUGCCAAAACUAUCGAAAUAUCUCGCAACGCACUGCCUUCGUUGAGUCAGCUGGAAGAGCUAGUAAGCUUUUUGGAAAGUAAACCAUGUUUGAUUAUGAUGGGCCAUGCUCGUACUGCGAAUGCGAGCAUGCAUGCAUGAUCCGAAAACAACAGCCCUAAACAGUGAAGUAGUGGGUGUAUGAAAAUUUUGGAGCAGUGGUGUAAGUACUGGAAGGACAAAAAGGAGCAGUUCAGAGGAAGUCCAGUUCUAUUGCAGCUGCGAGCCAACAUGAAGAAUUUGCCAGAACUUGGUGUAAUCAAGUUAAAAAUACAUUCUAUUAUGCAAGGAGAAUGUUUUGGAAUCUGAAUUUA